CGCGGGGUGGAGCAGCCUGGUAGCUCGUCGGGCUCAUAACCCGAAGGUCGCAGGUUCAAAUCCUGCCCCCGCAACCA
rnacentral:tRNA from 12 species